rnacentral:rRNA from 1 species
AUUGAACGCUGGCGACAUGCCUUACACAUGCAAGUCGAACGGCAGCACGGGUGCUUGCACCUGGUGGCGAGUGGCGAACGGGUGAGUAAUACAUCGGAACAUGUCCUGUAGUGGGGGAUAGCCCGGCGAAAGCCGGAUUAAUACCGCAUACGAUCUACGGAUGAAAGCGGGGGACCUUCGGGCCUCGCGCUAUAGGGUUGACCGAUGGCUGAUUAGCUAGUUGGUGGGGUAAAGGCCUACCAAGGCGACGAUCAGUAGCUGGUCUGAGAGGACGACCAGUCACACUGGGACUGAGACACGGCCCAGACUCCUACGGGAGGCAGCAGUGGGGAAUUUUGGACAAUGGGCGAAAGCCUGAUCCAGCAAUGCCGCGUGUGUGAAGAAGGCCUUCGGGUUGUAAAGCACUUUUGUUCGGAAAGAAAUCCUUGGCCCUAAUACGGUCGGGGGAUGACGGUACCGGAAGAAUAAGCACCGGCUAACUACGUG